rnacentral:rRNA from 1 species
GACGAACGCUGGCGGCGUGCUUAACACAUGCAAGUCGAACGAAGAGCGAUGGAAGCUUGCUUCUAUCAAUCUUAGUGGCGAACGGGUGAGUAACGCGUAAUCAACCUGCCCUUCAGAGGGGGACAACAGUUGGAAACGACUGCUAAUACCGCAUACGAUCUAAUCUCGGCAUCGAGGAUAGAUGAAAGGUGGCCUCUACAUGUAAGCUAUCACUGAAGGAGGGGAUUGCGUCUGAUUAGCUAGUUGGAGGGGUAACGGCCCACCAAGGCGAUGAUCAGUAGCGGGUGGGAAGGGAAGAAGGGACAAAUGGGGAUUGGAGACAGGCCCGAAACCCGGGGGGGGGGAGGAGGGGGAAAACUUCGGAAAGGGGGGAGAGUUGUGAGGAAGACAGAGCGGGGGGGGGGAGAGGGCUUGGGGUUGGAAAACUCGGUUAAGGGGGAAAAAAGCCCUUCAGGGGAAGAGUGGAAAGGUUUGACGGAACCGAAAAGAAAAGCAGGGGCUAAGUAGGUA